AUACAGAGGGUGCGAGCGUUAAUCGGAAUUACUGGGCGUAAAGCGCGCGUAGGCGGCUUAUUAAGUCAGAUGUGAAAUCCCCGGGCUCAACCUGGGAACUGCAUCUGAUACUGGUAAGCUAGAGUUAUGGAGAGGGAAGUAGAAUUUCAGGUGUAGCGGUGAAAUGCAUAGAGAUCUGAAGGAAUACCAGUGGCGAAGGCGACUUCCUGGCCAAAAACUGACGCUGAGGUGCGAAAGCGUGGGUAGCAAACGGGAUUAGAAACCCUUGUAGUCC
rnacentral:rRNA from 1 species